UAACUGUCCAUUCACUACUAUUUAUUGCCUU
rnacentral:piRNA from 1 species